AAACUGUGGUGUGGACACUUUCUUAAUAACUCCUUAUACCUUUCCCAUGCCUCAUACAAGGAUUCAAUAUCGCUUUGUACAAAGGAUGUUAUAUCAUUUCUCAUCUU